GUAUUGGGAUUGUACCAUACAGUCCACUUGGUCGUGGUUUUUUCGCUGGCAAAGCAAUUGUUGAAAGCUUACAUCAGGGUGACAGCCGAUUGAUCCGGAUACCUCGGUUUCAUGGAGAGAACUUGGAGAAGAAUAAAGUAUUAUAUGAAAGAGUUUCUGCACUUGCUCAGAAACAUGGUUGCACACCCGCACAAUUGGCCCUUGCAUGGAUACUUCACCAAGGAAAAGAUGUUGCACCCAUACCAGGAACAACCAAAAUAAAGAACUUGGAUACAU